AACGAACGCUGGCGGCAGGCUUAACACAUGCAAGUCGGACGGUUGUAGCAAUACAGCAGUGGCAGACGGGUGAGUAACACGUGGGAACCUUCCUAGGGGGUACGGAACAACUCAGGGAAACUUGAGCUAAUACCGUAUACGUCCGUGAGGAGAAAGAUUUAUCGCCCUUAGGCGGGCCCGCGUCGGAUUAGCUAGUUGGUGGGGUAACGGCCUACCAAGGCGACGAUCCGUAGCUGAUCUUAGAGGAUGAUCAGCCACACUGGGACUGAGACACGGCCCAGACUCCUACGGGAGGCAGCAGUGGGGAAUCUUGGACAAUGGGCGCAAGCCUGAUCCAGCCAUGCCGCGUGAGUGAAGAAGGUCUUCGGAUUGUAAAGCUCUUUUGCCAGGGACGAUAAUGACGGUACCUGGAGAAUAAGCCCCGGCAAACUUCGUGCCAGCAGCCGCGGUAAU
rnacentral:rRNA from 1 species